rnacentral:rRNA from 1 species
UGGGGAAUUUUGGACAAUGGGCGAAAGCCUGAUCCAGCAAUGCCGCGUGUGUGAAGAAGGCCUUCGGGUUGUAAAGCACUUUUGUCCGGAAAGAAAUCCUUGGCUCUAAUACAGUCGGGGGAUGACGGUACCGGAAGAAUAAGCACCGGCUAACUACGUGCCAGCAGCCGCGGUAAUACGUAGGGUGCAAGCGUUAAUCGGAAUUACUGGGCGUAAAGCGUGCGCAGGCGGUUUGCUAAGACCGAUGUGAAAUCCCCGGGCUCAACCUGGGAACUGCAUUGGUGACUGGCAGGCUAGAGUAUGGCAGAGGGGGGUAGAAUUCCACGUGUAGCAGUGAAAUGCGUAGAGAUGUGGAGGAAUACCGAUGGCGAAGGCAGCCCCCUGGGCCAAUACUGACGCUCAUGCACGAAAGCGUGGGGGAGCAAAACAGGAUUAGAUACCCCUGGUAGUCCACGCCCUAAAACGAUGUCAACUAGUUGUUGGGGAUUCAUUUCCUUAGUAACGUAGCUAACGCGUGAAGUUGACCGCCUGGGGAGUACGGUCGCAAGAUUAAAACUCAAAUGAAUUGACGGGGU